UACGUAGGGUGCAAGCGUUGUCCGGAAUUAUUGGGCGUAAAGAGCUCGUAGGCGGUCUGUCGCGUCUGCUGUGAAAACUCGGGGCUUAACCCCGGGCCUGCAGUGGGUACGGGCAGACUAGAGUGCGGUAGGGGAGACUGGAAUUCCUGGUGUAGCGGUGAAAUGCGCAGAUAUCAGGAGGAACACCCGUAGCGAAGGCGGCACUCUGGGCCGAUACUGACACUGAGGAGCGAAAGCGUGGGGAGCGAACAGG
rnacentral:rRNA from 1 species